rnacentral:lncRNA from 1 species
GGCACAUCAGGGCAAAGUAGAAUCACAUCAGGGCAAAGUAGAAUCACAUCAAGGCAAGGUAGAAUCGCAGCAGGGAAUAGAUGCGCAUCAGGACAAAGUGGAGGCACAUCAGAACAAAAUAAAGGCACAUCAGGGCAAAGUAGAAUCACAUCAGGGCAAAGUAGAAUCACAUCAAGGCAAGGUAGAAUCGCAGCAGGGAAUAGAUGCGCAUCAGGACAAAGUGGAGGCACAUCAGAACAAAAUAAAGGCACAUCAGGGCAAAGUAGAAGCACAUCAAAAAAUUGCGAGGAGAAAAGAAUUGCUCAUUUAUGAAGUCACUCGGUCUGCGGUAGUAAAAAUUCAAAGCGAAACAACAUUCGUUCGAAUUAACUUUUCAGUUAGGUAA